AUUGAACGCUGGCGGCAGGCCUAACACAUGCAAGUCGAACGGCAGAAGAGUGCUUGCUCGUGGUUACAGGGGGGGAGGGGCGGGCGAUGCCUAGGUACAUCCCUGGCUGCUGGUGAUAACGUGCUGACGCGGGCGCAAAUACGGCAUACGUGCAGACGACGUACGGGUGGGAGCAUCGGAUCUUAGGACCUCACACGAUUGUAUGUCGGAUUAGCUAGUUGGCGGGGUAAAGGCCUACCAAGGCGACGAUCCGUAGCUGGUCUGAGAGGAUGAUCAGUCACACUGGAGCUGAGACACGGUCCAGACUCCUACGGGAGGCAGCAGUGGGGAAUAUUGGACAAUGGGCGAAAGCCUGAUCCAGCCAUGCCGCGUGUGUGAAGAAGGUCUUCGGAUUGUAAAGCACUUUAGGUUGGGAAGAAGAGCAGUAAGUUAAUACCUUGCUGUUUUGACGGUACCAAAAGAAUAAGCACCGGCUAACUUCGUG
rnacentral:rRNA from 1 species